rnacentral:lncRNA from 1 species
ACAAAUCCUUCGAUUCUGAAGGAAAAUGCAGUACCAGAGGUUGAAGCAGCAUCGACAGCAGCAACAAGCACUGGUGCAGCAAGCGAUUCUUCAACAAAAGUCUCUCUACCAUCCCGGCCUCUUAGCCACUCCUCAGGUCCAAUUUAUUGUUUGCAUGUUGUUUGUCGUCGCUCAUGUGAAUCAAUUAUGCCGUGAUUUCGAUUGUGUUUUCAUAAUUUCAAGAUUUGAUUUGUUCACGCUAUUUAGGGUUAGCUUGUUUGUUUUCGCUUAUGUGAAUCCAUUGUAACACCGAACGUUCUUUUUCGACGAUAUUUGUGUUGAAGAACAAAGCAAGGGGUUGUUAGAGGAGCGAGGCAGGGGCGGCUUGACGACGUAGAUCUGCUUCACCGUUUCACUUUCUCGACGCUAUUGCCCUACGAUCCUGUUCUCUGCCACGCAAG